UACCAGCUCUCCGAGUGGUGUGGAUGUUUAUUGGGCCUAAAGCAUCCGUAGCUGGCCAAGCCAGUCCCUUGUUAAACCCACCGAAUUAAUCGUUGGAUUGCGGGGGAUACUGCUCGGCUAGGGGACGAGAGAGGCAGACGGUAUUUUCGGGGUAGGGGUGAAAUCCUAUAAUCCCGGGAAGACCACCAGUGGCGAAGGCUGUCUGCUAGAACGCGCCCGACGGUGAGGGAUGAAAGCUGGGGGAG
rnacentral:rRNA from 1 species